rnacentral:rRNA from 1 species
GUAGCAAUACCUAGUGGCAGACGGGUGAGUAACGCGUGGUCAACCUACCCUAAAGUGGGGGAUAACUAGCCGAAAGGUUAGCUAAUACCGCAUAAAACGUAGCGAGGCAUCUCGUAACGUUGAAAGGAGCAAUCCGCUUAUGGACGGGACCGCGUCCGAUUAGCUAGUUGGUGAGGUAAUGGCUCACCAAGGCUCCGAUCGGUAGCUGGUUUGAGAGAGCGACCAGCCACACUGGGACUGAGAAACGGCCCAGACUCCUACGGGAGGCAGCAGUGAGGAAUUUUCCGCAAUGGGCGAAAGCCUGACGGAGCGACGCCGCGUGUGGGAAGAAGGCCUUCGGG